UACGUAGGGCGCAAGCGUUGUCCGGAAUUAUUGGGCGUAAAGAGCUCAUAGGCGGUUUGUCGCGUCGGAUGUGAAAGCCCGGGGCUUAACCCCGGGUCUGCAUUCGAUACGGGCAGGCUGGAGUGUGGUAGGGGAGAUCGGAAUUCCUGGUGUAGCGGUGAAAUGCGCAGAUAUCAGGAGGAACACCGGUGGCGAAGGCGGAUCUCUGGGCCAUUACUGACGCUGAGGAGCGAAAGCGUGGGGAGCGAACAGG
rnacentral:rRNA from 1 species